GAUAAGAUGGCUGAAGAUUUAGGCUAUAAAUUGUAAAUUUAUAUAUGGUAAAUAACCUCUUAUCA
rnacentral:tRNA from 1 species